rnacentral:rRNA from 1 species
AACGAACGCUGGCGGCAUGCCUAACACAUGCAAGUCGAACGAGACCUUCGGGUCUAGUGGCGCACGGGUGCGUAACGCGUGGGAAUCUGCCCUUCGGUUCGGAAUAACAGUUAGAAAUGACUGCUAAUACCGGAUGAUGACUUCGGUCCAAAGAUUUAUCGCCGAGGGAUGAGCCCGCGUAGGAUUAGCUUGUUGGUGAGGUAAAGGCUCACCAAGGCGACGAUCCUUAGCUGGUCUGAGAGGAUGAUCAGCCACACUGGGACUGAGACACGGCCCAGACUCCUACGGGAGGCAGCAGUGGGGAAUAUUGGACAAUGGGCGAAAGCCUGAUCCAGCAAUGCCGCGUGAGUGAUGAAGGCCCUAGGGUUGUAAAGCUCUUUUACCCGGGAUGAUAAUGACAGUACCGGGAGAAUAAGCCCCGGCUAACUCCGUGCCAGCAGCCGCCGUAACAC